rnacentral:misc_RNA from 1 species
GUAAAAUUUUAGUAAAUAAACUCAUUAGGAAGGGCAGUUUCAUGCAUAAGCUGAGAACACUAGCAAUACUGCCUGCAUCAUUUCAUGCAGGACACACAAGUAACUGAUACAUUUACGGACAGCUAAAGGGAUUGGCAAACUCUAGUUAGCAUUUAGGCACAAUGUUGCCAUCCUACAUAAACCUAUCCAUACUCGACCUUCACUCUUAAAAUUUCUUACAAAACCCAUACACAUAUUAUUUGGUCAAGAGAAAAGGUUGUAUCCCUUCUUGUUCCUCCAUUCAGUCAUCCCUUUUGGUGGCUGAAUGUGGGUCCAAGUAGGUACCUCAUGUACCUCAUGAUUCUGUCAUUCGUUUAACAGGAUAGAAAUGCUAAACACUAGAUAAUCUAAGGGAUUCAAAAUGACUCCAAAAAAGCCUGGAUGAUUGUAAGAUCAAACACAGGGAUUUGGUGCAUCAUCACUGUUGUCAGGAGGCAUUUGUCUUUGGACAGCUUUUACUGCUGCAACUCUUGCAGCAUUGGCUGCCUUAUUUGCUGCUGCAACAGCUCUAUUCAACCUUUCAUCUGUUCUUGCCAAAUCAUAUGCUUUCCUAGCAGCCUGCUGUGCUUCCUGGACAGCAUAAAGAACUUUGGAAUAAGUAACCGCAUAAGGAGAUCCAUAAAGGCUAUUCUCUGAGUUGGGGAAAUCAAGAAAACCAUUUUGCCAAUGACCAGAUUGUGUUUCCCCAUUUCUGAAAGUGUACAUGCCAAGCCCUUGCCUCCUUCCCUCAUGCCAAGCUCCUUCAUAUUGAUGUCCAUUUCCGAACUGAUAAACUCCAAAACCAUGCAUUUUGUCUGCAAAAUAUUCCCCAGCAUAUGUGUCCCCAUUUCUGAAAUAGUAACGACCAAGGCCAUGCUUGACGCCCCACUUGAACUCCCCAACAUAUCUACUACCAUCCUCACAGGUAUGGAUCCCACACCCGUGACAUUGCCCAUUAGACCACUCCCCAGCGUAAACAUCACCAGAAUAAAACCUAUAAACUCCAAUUCCAUGCCUUAAACCCUUCCUAUAUUGCCCUCUGUACCGACUCCCUUUAGCCCAGGUUUCAACUCCAUAGCCAUCAUACUUCUCAUCAACCCAAUCACCCUCAUAUCUCCCGCUCAUGUAAUAGUAAUAAACCCCACUGCCUGAACACUUUCCCUUGUGAAAUUCACCCUCAUAAACAUCACCAUUGCUGUAAACUUGAACCCAAGACCCCGAAUUCGGCCUCUUCUCUACUUUUGGCUUGGAACCAAUAGACCAUAUUACAGGUUUUGAAGCUUUUGUGGGUAAAUUUGUUGAGUUGAGCUUACUAGGCAAUGAACGGGCAAGAAGUAAUCGAAUAGAAGGCAAGCGAGGGAAAGCGAGGGUGAGAGAUACCAAAAAGGUAAUUGAGAAAGCAAGAAUUGAAAGAAAAUUUAUGAUAAAAAAGCGAUUAUGUAUGGAUAAAAAGAAGUAAAGUGAAGGCAAAGAAAUAAGGACUAAGACCCGCAAAUGUACACAAAGCAAACGGGCACGGGUUAGACAGAAAAAUAGUUUAUAUGAUAGAGUUCUGAUGGAAAAUGGAGUUGCAAAAGAGGGUGUUGGACUAAAAUUGGAUUGGUGGCGAGUAGAAGAAAGGGAAAGAGAAGAGGGUGAAAGAGUCAUGAUUGUAGGUCUUUUGUGAGGCAACGAAAGAAGGGGUGUUGUUUGUGUUGUCGAAGGAUGAUUGGAGAUGGGUUGUUGUAGGUCAUGGUGAAAGUGAAAGUGAGGUUGGUGUUGGUGAUGGUGUUGGGCUAGCAGCAUAGGCAGUGGUGGGUUCGGUGAUAUUUGCAGGGAUGGGAUUUGGAUUUGGAGAUGCUUUUGGUGGAUUGGAAUCGUAGUAUCGGAACCAGAAGAAACGCCUCUGCUUCUGCUUCUGCCUCUGCCUCUGCCCCUGCUUCUGCUUCCAGUUUCUUUUCUGAUCUGCGUUUCUGAUAUCUUCUGAAGCAUUUACAUAUCAGAGAUGCCCCUUCCUUCUGCAAGUCUCUCUGUAGAGCUAUUGCUUUUGUUUCUUCUCCUCAAUCUCUGUUGGUGUGUGAGAUUUGAAAGGAGAAGAGCUCUGAUGAAUAUAAUGGAAGAAGAGAGUAAAAGAAGGAAAGAUGAAUAUAAUGGAAGAAGAGAGUAAAAGAAGGAAA